UCCCUCUUAGGGUCGCUAACCUGGAGAGUUUCCAAUACUCUGCCAGUCUUGGCUAUGGGAGGGAGAGUCAAGCAGAGGCCUACCCAUUCCAUUCCUAGCCUGGGCAGUGGCUAGGGAGUGGAAGGCAAUCUGCUACAAGU